AGCUAGUUGGUGGUGUAACGGACCACCAAGGCGACGAUGGGUAGCUGGUCUGAGAGGAUGGUCAGCCACACUGGGACUGAGAUACGGCCCAGACUCCUACGGGAGGCAGCAGUCGAGAGGCUUUGGCAAUGGGGGAAACCCUGACCAAGCGACGCCGCGUGGAGGAUGAAGGCCCUUGGGUUGUAAACUCCUUUUGUCGGGGAAGAAAUGCGAUCAGGUGAACAAUCUGGUCGUUUGACGGUACCCGACGAAUAAGCUCCGGCUAACUCCGUGCCAGCAGCCGCGGUAACACGGGGGGAGCAAGCGUUGUUCUGAAUCACUGGGCGUAAAGGGCGUGUAGGCGGAUAGGUAAGUGGAACGUGAAAUCCCUCGGCUCACCCGAGGACCUGCGUCCCAAACUGCCUGUCUUGAGUACGGGAGAGGAUGAGGGAAUUCCUGGUGUAGCGGUGAAAUGCGUAGAUAUCAGGAGGAACACCGGCGGCGAAGGCGCUCAUCUGGCCCGAUACUGACGCUGAGGCGCGAAAGCUAGGGGGAGCAAACGGGAUUAGAUACCCCGGUAGUCCUAGCCGUAAACGGUGAUCACUAGGUGUUGGAGGCAACGACCCCUCCAGUGCCGCAGCUAACGCAUUAAGUGAUCCGCCUGGGGAGUACGGCCGCAAGGUUGAAACUCAAAGGAAUUGACGGGGGCCCGCACAAGCGGUGGAGCAUGUGGUUUAAUUCGACGCAACGCGAAGAACCUUACCCAGACUUGACAUGCAGCGGACCGGUGUGGAAACACACCUUCCCUUCGGGGCCGUUGCACAGGUGCUGCAUGGCUGUCGUCAGCUCGUGUCGUGAGAUGUUGGGUUAAGUCCCGCAACGAGCGCAACCCUUGUCCUUAGUUGCUAACGGAUAAUGCUGAGCACUCUAAGGAGACUGCCGGUGAUAAACCGGAGGAAGGUGGGGAUGACGUCAAGUCCUCAUGGCCCUUACGUCUGGGGCUACACACGUGCUACAAUGGCCGGUACAAAGGGUUCCGAUACCGCGAGGUGGAGGCAAUCCCAAAAACCCGGUCUCAGUUCGGAUUGCAGUCUGCAACUCGACUGCAUGAAGUCGGAAUCGCUAGUAAUCGCUGAUCAGCAGGCAGCGGUGAAUACGUUCCCGGGCCUUGUACACACCGCCCGUCAAGCCACGAAAGUUGGUAGUACCCGAAGUCGGUGUGCCAACCGUAAGGGGGCAGCCGCC
rnacentral:rRNA from 1 species